CCUACGGGAGGCAGCAGUGAGGAAUAUUGGUCAAUGGGAGGAAUCCUGAACCAGCCAUGCCGCGUGCAGGACGACGGCUCUACGAGUUUUAAACUGCUUUUGUACCGGGGUAAAAGGCUCUACGUGUCGGGUUUUGCACGUACGGUACGAUUACAGAUCGGCUAACUACGUGCCAGCAGCCGCGGUAAUACGGAGGGUCCGAGCGUUAUCCGGAUUCAUUGGGUUUAAAGGGUGCGUAGGUGGUUUGAUAAGUUAGCGGUGAAAUACCGAGGCUCAACAUCGGGGCUGCCGCGGAUACUGUCGGACUAGAGAGCGGAUGAGGCAGGCGGAAUGUGUAGUGUAGCGGUGAAAUGCGUAGAUAGUA
rnacentral:rRNA from 1 species